ACUUGGAUGGUUUUGGUUUUAUACGAGUUUCGUUGGAAGUUAUUUUCUUUUAAUGUUAUUGGACAGUGGUAUGUGCUCAUGGUUGGAGGCAUGGAGUUUGGUUUUAGCGGUAGUGAUUACAGAGGGCAGUAGUUAGGAUUAGGCUAAGUUUUAUUUUGAUAGGAAGUGGUAUUCUGUAUCUUCAAGUGUAUAUAUGUAUAGUUAGUCAUUUUGUUCUUUGUUCUUUUAUUCAGGUUAACAUCUUUUUGCGCAUUCGAUUGCAUUACUUUUGGAUUCAGGCAAGUUGGGAUGUUAGGCAAGGACUCUGGCGGCAUCUCGGGGAUUCUUUUGUUUGACCUCCUUAGGGUGUCUCAUCUUAGUUUUAUUUUAAUAAAUCGCUUCCGCAUUCAAAACAAUUGUCAAAUAAUGAAUUCUUUUUAUUAUUGUUGAAUUACUGGUUAUUGUUUAGUUCAUGGGAUGGUUGUACCCCAUGUUUAUGAUUGAGACUCAUUUGGCAUUUGAUUUGAUUAAUAACGAAAAAGGGAUCAUUUGAUUUUCAGUUA